UCAGGCAGAAAACUGGCGAAUGUUGCCCGAAACUUGACUGUGGAAACGAGACGGAUAUUGUCAACUAUACAAGUACUAUUAACGUUACAAGCAGUGUGAAUGCAAGCGAUUGUCAAGACAAUAUUCCAGGAUGUGAAUACUACGAGGAGAUCGUCUGCAAAGGAAUUUACGAGCCGUGGGCACGUGCUCACUGUUCCCUCAGAUGUGGCUAUUGUGGCUACACGGCACCAUGUGUUGACAAGCUAACCUUCUGUGACGCUUAUGAAUUGAGAACAGCUUGCAAGGACUUUCCUGGUUGGGCAAGGUUCAACUGCAAGAAGUCAUGUGGUCUAUGUAAAUAAUGAAAAAGGUUACAAUAAACUGAUACACUA